GAUGAACGCUAGCUACUGGCUUAACACAUGCAAGUCGAGGGGUAACAAGAGAAAAGCUUGCUUUUCUUGUUGACGACCGGCGCACGGGUGAGUAACGCGUAUCCAACCUGCCUAUAACUAGGGAAUAACCUUGCGAAAGUAAGACUAAUACCCUAUGAUUUCCUUUGAUGGCAUCAGAUUAGGAAUAAAGAUUUAUCGGUUAUAGAUGGGGAUGCGUCUGAUUAGCUUGUUGGCGGGGUAACGGCCCACCAAGGCAACGAUCAGUAGGGGUUCUGAGAGGAAGGUCCCCCACAUUGGAACGGAGACACGGUCCAAACGCCUCCGGGAGGCAGCAGUGAGGAAUAUUGGUCAAUGGGCGGAAGCUUGAACCAGCCAAGUAGCGUGCAGGAUGACGGCCCUAUGGGUUGUAAACUGCUUUUAUACAGGAAUAAAGUUAGCCACGUGUGGUUAUUUGUAGGUACUGUAUGAAUAAGGACCGGCUAAUCCCGUGCCAGCAGCCGCCGUAA
rnacentral:rRNA from 1 species